GACGAACGCUGGCGGCGUGCCUAAUACAUGCAAGUCGAACGCACUCUCGUUUAGAUUGAAGGAGCUUGCUCCUGAUUGAUAAACAUUUGAGUGAGUGGCGGACGGGUGAGUAACACGUGGGUAACCUGCCCUAAAGUGGGGGAUAACAUUUGGAAACAGAUGCUAAUACCGCAUAAAACCUAACACCGCAUGGUGUAGGGUUGAAAGGUGGUUUCGGCUAUCACUUUAGGAUGGACCCGCGGUGCAUUAGUUAGUUGGUGAGGUAAAGGCUCACCAAGACCGUGAUGCAUAGCCGACCCUGAGAGGGUAAUCGGCCACACUGGGACUGAGACACGGCCCAGACUCCUACGGGAGGCAGCAGUAGGGAAUCUUCCACAAUAGGACGAAAGUACUGA
rnacentral:rRNA from 1 species